rnacentral:rRNA from 1 species
GACGAACGCUGGCGGCGUGCUUAACACAUGCAAGUAGAACGGAAAGGCCCUGCUUUUGCGGUGUGCUCGAGUGGCGAACGGGUGAGUAACACGUGAGUAUCCUGCCCUUUACUGUGGGAUAACUUCAGGAAACUCGGGCUAUUAUCGGAUAGGAGCUCCUGCUGCAUGGUGGGGGUUGGAAAGUUUCGGCGGUUGGGGAUGGACGCGCGGCUUAUCAGCGUGUUGGUGGGGUAGUGGCUUACCAAGGCGUUGACGGGUAGCCGGCCUGAGAGGGUGACCGGCCACAUUGGGACUGAGAAACGGCCCAGACUCCUACGGGAGGCAGCAGUGGGGAAUAUUGCACAAUGGGCGGAAGCCUGAUGCAGCAACGCCGCGUGCGGGAUGACUGCCGUCGGGUUGUAAACCGCGUUCGCCUGUGACGAAGCGUGAGUGACGGUAAUGGGUAAAGAAGCACCGGCUAACUACGUG